rnacentral:rRNA from 1 species
ACACGACUACAUUAGAUACCCGUGUAGUCCUAGCCGUAAACGAUACUCGCUAGGUGUCGGCCACGGUGCGACCGUUGUCGGUGCCGUAGGGAAGCCGUGAAGCGAGCCACCUGGGAAGUACGGCCGCAAGGCUGAAACUUAAAGGAAUUGGCGGGGAGCACAACAACGGGUGGAGCCUGCGGUUUAAUUGGACUCAACGCCGGACAACUCACCGGGGACGACAGCAAUAUGUAGGCCAGGCUGAAGACCUUGCCUGAAUCGCUG